rnacentral:piRNA from 1 species
UACCCAAUGAUUGUUUCAAGUUGCUUUAA